ACAUGCAAGUCGAGCGGAAACGACAUCGAAAGCUUGCUUUUGAUAGGCGUCGACCGGCGCACGGGUGAGUAACGCGUAUCCAACCUGCCCACCACUUGGGGAUAACCUUGCGAAAGUAAGACUAAUACCCGAUGAUAUCUCUAGACGACAUCUGAAAGGGAUUAAAGAUUUAUCGGUGAUGGAUGGGGAUGCGUCUGAUUAGCUUGUUGGCGGGGUAACGGCCCACCAAGGCAACGAUCAGUAGGGGUUCUGAGAGGAAGGUCCCCCACAUUGGAACUGAGACACGGUCCAAACUCCUACGGGAGGCAGCAGUGAGGAAUAUUGGUCAAUGGGCGAGAGCCUGAACCAGCCAAGUAGCGUGCAGGACGACGGCCCUAUGGGUUGUAAACUGCUUUUAUAAGGGAAUAAAGUGAGUCUCGUGAGACUUUUUGCAUGUA
rnacentral:rRNA from 1 species